GCUAGAUUGAUAUCUUAUCUAUUUCAUUUUUCUUGGUGCUAAUUAAAUGGUAUUCAUUUUAUUUGGGGGGGGGGUAAAUUGUAAUUUUUUUAUUGGAAAACAAAUAUACAACUUGGAAUGGAUUUGAGGCAAAUUGUGCCAUAAGCAGAUUUUCUUUAAGUGGCUAAAACAAAGUUUAAAAAGCAAGUUAACAAUAAAAGAAAAUGUUUCUGGUAUAGGACCAGCAGUACAAAAAAACAGUGUACGAGUACCUGGAUAAAACACCCGUUUUGCAAUAGUGCAACUUUUAAGUACAUGCUGUUGACUGUCCGUAGUCCACGCAGAGUUACAACUCCACACUUCAACAACAAAAUGCUGACAGUUCCUAAAAAAAACUACUCAAAAAAAAAAAAAAAAAAGGCAAAUAAACAAUUUUGUACAAGGAAUUUAACACAUUCUGUACAAUGUCUUCACUUUGCUGUCAUCAUUGGUACAAACUCUUCAUAGUUUACUUGACCAUCACCAUCAAUAUCUGCUUCCCUGAUCAUUUCAUCAACCUUUUCAUCUGUUAGCUUCUCUCCAAGGUUUGUCAUCACACGGUGGAGCGCUGCUGCACUAAUAUAGCCAUUACCAUCCUUAUCAAAUACAUGGAAUGCUUCUCUAAUUUCUUCUUCACUGUCUGUAUCUUUCAUUUUUCUUGCCAUCAUUGUCAGAAAUUCCGGGAAGUCAAUUGUGCCAUUACCUGCAAUCUGCUAUUCAGUCAGUUGGUCAGCCAUGCUGCAAGCGCUACCGGUCUCCGGGACGCAAUCACACAACCACUCAGCUCGCUCGCUCCACUUGGACUCAAUGGUAUUCAUUUUAACUUAACAUUCCAAUUGUUCAUUUCUAGUUUCAGUUCAUUUCAGUUGCUCAGUCGUGUCCAAUUCUUUGCGACCCCAUGACAUUUAUAGGAAAGCAAUUUAUUUUUGUAUAUUUUGUGUAUUAACCAUGUGCCUUGCUAGGAUUGAUGUGAGGGGACAUCUUUACCUUACUCCUGUCUUAGUGUGAAGGAAUCUAUUUUCUCACCAUUAAGUAAGUUGUUAGCUAUAGGGUUUGGGGGGUGUUUUUUUUUAAUUUGCUAAGUUAAAAAAAAUUUUUUUUUCAUUUAUUUAUUUUUGGCUGUGUUGGGUCUUUAUUGCUGCACAAGGGCUUUCUCUAGUUUUGGAGAGUGGAGGCUACUCUCUAAUUGUGGUGCAUAGGCCCUCGUUGUGGUGGCUUUUCUUGUUGCAGAGCACAGACUCUAGGGCACGUGGGUUUCAGGAGUUGUGGCACACAGGUUUAGGUACCCUGUAGCAUGUGGGAUCUGCCUGGAUCAGGGAUCGAACCAGUGUCUGCUGACGUCUCCUGGAUUGCAAGGCAGAUUCUUAAUCACUGGACCACCAGGGAAGCCCCAGCUUUAAGUUUUGACGUUAAGGUAAAGCUAUGUUUACGAUGUUAUUUAUCAAAUUGAGGAAAUUCUUCUCUGUUCCUAGAUUGCUGAGAUUUUUUAAAAAUCAUGAAUGGGUGUUAGAUUUUUAUCAAAUGCAUUUUUUGCAUCUAUUGAUAUGUUCAUGUGAUGUUUCUCCUUUAACCUGUUGAUGAGAUUGACUAUAUUAAUUUUCCAGUAGUGAUCCAGCAGUGUAUGAGCCUCUUGAUCAUGCAUAUAAUUCUUUUUAUAUAUUGUUGCAUCCCAUUUGAUAAUUUUUAUGAGAAGUUUUAUAUCUGUUUUCAUAGUAUUGGUCUAUAAUUGGUUUUGUAAUGUCUUUGUCUGGUUUUGACAUUAAGGUAAAGCUAACCCUUAGGAUGAGUUAGGAGAUAUUCCCUCUACCUCUAUCUAAUGGAAGAAAUUUUAGAGAACUGGUAUAAUUUCUUCCUUAAAUGUUUGGUAGAAUUCAGCAGUGAGUGCAUCUAGAUUUGCUUUUU
rnacentral:lncRNA from 1 species